CACACCCGUUCCCAUACCGAACACGGAAGUUAAGCUUCUCAGCGCCGAUGGUAGUUGGGGGCUGUCCCCCUGUGAGAGUAGGACAUUGCCAGGC
rnacentral:rRNA from 1 species